AUACAGAGGGUGCAAGCGUUAAUCGGAUUUACUGGGCGUAAAGCGCGCGUAGGUGGCUAAUUAAGUCAAAUGUGAAAUCCCCGAGCUUAACUUGGGAAUUGCAUUCGAUACUGGUUAGCUAGAGUAUGGGAGAGGAUGGUAGAAUUCCAGGUGUAGCGGUGAAAUGCGUAGAGAUCUGGAGGAAUACCGAUGGCGAAGGCAGCCAUCUGGCCUAAUACUGACACUGAGGUGCGAAAGCAUGGGGAGCAAACAGGAUUAGAUACCCUGGUAGUCCAUGCCGUAAACGAUGUCUACUAGCCGUUGGGGCCCUUGAGGCUUUAGUGGCGCAGCUAACGCGAUAAGUAGACCGCCUGGGGAGUACGGCCGCAAGACUAAAACUCAAAUGAAUUGACGGGG
rnacentral:rRNA from 1 species